AGCGAACGCUGGCGGCAGGCCUAACACAUGCAAGUCGAACGAACCUUUCGGGGUUAGUGGCGGACGGGUGAGUAACACGUGGGAACGUGCCUUUAGGUUCGGAAUAACUCAGGGAAACUUGUGCUAAUACCGAAUGUGCCCUUCGGGGGAAAGAUUUAUCGCCUUUAGAGCGGCCCGCGUCUGAUUAGCUAGUUGGUUGAGGUAAUGGCUCACCAAGGCGACGAUCAGUAGCUGGUCUGAGAGGAUGAGCAGCCACAUUGGGACUGAGACACGGCCCAAACUCCUACGGGAGGCAGCAGUGGGGAAUCUUGCGCAAUGGGCGAAAGCCUGACGCAGCCAUGCCGCGUGAAUGAUGAAGGUCUUAGGAUUGUAAAAUUCUUUCACCGGGGACGAUAAUGACGGUACCCGGAGAAGAAGCCCCGGCUAACUUCGUG
rnacentral:rRNA from 1 species